rnacentral:rRNA from 3 species
AAAUUGAAGAGUUUGAUCAUGGCUCAGAUUGAACGCUGGCGGCAGGCCUAACACAUGCAAGUCGAACGGUAACAGAAAGAAGCUUGCUUCUUUGCUGACGAGUGGCGGACGGGUGAGUAAUGUCUGGGAAACUGCCUGAUGGAGGGGGAUAACUACUGGAAACGGUAGCUAAUACCGCAUAACGUCGCAAGACCAAAGAGGGGGACCUUCGGGCCUCUUGCCAUCGGAUGUGCCCAGAUGGGAUUAGCUUGUUGGUGGGGUAACGGCUCACCAAGGCGACGAUCCCUAGCUGGUCUGAGAGGAUGACCAGCCACACUGGAACUGAGACACGGUCCAGACUCCUACGGGAGGCAGCAGUGGGGAAUAUUGCACAAUGGGCGCAAGCCUGAUGCAGCCAUGCCGCGUGUAUGAAGAAGGCCUUCGGGUUGUAAAGUACUUUCAGCGGGGAGGAAGGGAGUAAAGUUAAUACCUUUGCUCAUUGACGUUACCCGCAGAAGAAGCACCGGCUAACUCCGUGCCAGCAGCCGCGGUAAUACGGAGGGUGCAAGCGUUAAUCGGAAUUACUGGGCGUAAAGCGCACGCAGGCGGUUUGUUAAGUCAGAUGUGAAAUCCCCGGGCUCAACCUGGGAACUGCAUCUGAUACUGGCAAGCUUGAGUCUCGUAGAGGGGGGUAGAAUUCCAGGUGUAGCGGUGAAAUGCGUAGAGAUCUGGAGGAAUACCGGUGGCGAAGGCGGCCCCCUGGACGAAGACUGACGCUCAGGUGCGAAAGCGUGGGGAGCAAACAGGAUUAGAUACCCUGGUAGUCCACGCCGUAAACGAUGUCGACUUGGAGGUUGUGCCCUUGAGGCGUGGCUUCCGGAGCUAACGCGUUAAGUCGACCGCCUGGGGAGUACGGCCGCAAGGUUAAAACUCAAAUGAAUUGACGGGGGCCCGCACAAGCGGUGGAGCAUGUGGUUUAAUUCGAUGCAACGCGAAGAACCUUACCUGGUCUUGACAUCCACGGAAGUUUUCAGAGAUGAGAAUGUGCCUUCGGGAACCGUGAGACAGGUGCUGCAUGGCUGUCGUCAGCUCGUGUUGUGAAAUGUUGGGUUAAGUCCCGCAACGAGCGCAACCCUUAUCCUUUGUUGCCAGCGGUCCGGCCGGGAACUCAAAGGAGACUGCCAGUGAUAAACUGGAGGAAGGUGGGGAUGACGUCAAGUCAUCAUGGCCCUUACGACCAGGGCUACACACGUGCUACAAUGGCGCAUACAAAGAGAAGCGACCUCGCGAGAGCAAGCGGACCUCAUAAAGUGCGUCGUAGUCCGGAUUGGAGUCUGCAACUCGACUCCAUGAAGUCGGAAUCGCUAGUAAUCGUGGAUCAGAAUGCCACGGUGAAUACGUUCCCGGGCCUUGUACACACCGCCCGUCACACCAUGGGAGUGGGUUGCAAAAGAAGUAGGUAGCUUAACCUUCGGGAGGGCGCUUACCACUUUGUGAUUCAUGACUGGGGUGAAGUCGUAACAAGGUAACCGUAGGGGAACCUGCGGUUGGAUCACCUCCUUA